CUCAUGGGUGCCAACCGUUUGUGGAAUCUGUGGACUUUUUUAGUCUGCUGGAUACCCUUUAUAUUCUUCUCUUCUAUCAAUGUAUUUGUUGGACAUUUUCGGUUAUAUUGAAGUUUGUACGAAUUUGAAUUGAAUCCCUUGCAGUGCAGUUUCAUAUCAGAGAAAGUGGUGUACGUGCGUCUGCUGUCGCGGAUAAAACUUAUAUACAUAUAAAGAUGUAUAUGGCUCUAAAGCGCGCAAUCAAAUCACUUCGCAAUAUGUAAACAUUAACUGUAAUGUAAAAAAAUCAGUGAGCACCAAAAAUUAACGAAAUUUGAAGACUAAAUAAAAAUCGAAAAUAAAGUUAACGUUCAAGCAAGAAAAGUCCCUCCAGCAGCGUUCACACAACAUCUGUAAAGAGAGCGAGUCAAGCAAGCAAGCAAGCAGACAGUAACACGAACUUGUUUGUUGGCCCUUUGUUUUUAAAGUGUAGAGUCACACAAAUGCUAACAACAAAAACAAUAGCAUGGAAUAAUGCAAAAUUGCUAAAAUCCAAAUCCAAAAAUUAUAUUUUUUUUUGAAUUGUUGUAUAUGUUAAUUUGAUUUCUCUUUAAUUCCAAACUUAUGUUUUGUUUUGUUUCGUAUCUUUU